GGUGCUACUUCAGUUCCUUACCCCUUCCCUUCUGACCCUGGGCGGUGAGAUCCUCUUUCUCCGGCUGGUCCGCGGCAAGUGGCACUCGAACAGGGACCUGAAGCGUGAAGGCAGUUAAAAGAGAAAGAAAGUGCAGGCAACAGCCUGUUCCUCGUGUACCUUUGGUUUUUACGGACGGUUCUUCUUCAGGAGUGGCUACUGUAAUCAUUGACGACGGAACAAACCUCAUUCAAGAAAAUUCCUUGACUUCAGCUCAACGUGUUGAACUGUAUGCUGUCAUUAUGUCUUUUAAACAUUUGCCUUCUAUAUCUUUUAAUUUGUUUUCUGAUAGUAAAUAUCUUAUUAGCUUGUGAUUUCUUCUGGAGACUGCGACCAUAGGACAUACUAAUGACCCUGAAUUAUCAUCCUCUUUUCGUUUGCUUCAACAGCUUAUUCGUUCCCAUGAUGGUCCUGUUGCAGGUCUGUAUAUCCGUGCUCAUUCUAACUUGCCUGGUCCAUUGACUAAACUUAAUGCGACUGCAGAUGUUUUAACUCGAUCUAAACGUGAUCUUUAUCCUGUACAUUUUCCUCCCAAGAAUAGAGUUGAAGUUACUCCUCCUCCUCAAUCUCUUUUCCCUAAAGCAGGACAUGUCCCAAUUUACCGUACUCCUCCUUUCCGUUCGUCAUGCUGUCAAGAAUGGCUAAUGUACUGCAUUCAUUAUCUUCAUACUCUUGAUACUCAUGGUCCAUGUCCUGGACACCCUCAUAUUAUGGUAAGUUAUGAUCAAACUGCUUCACAAGCAGCACAGCCGUUGCACGCUUUACACCGUCACUCGGCGGCUACAUUACACACACAAUUUUCCCUUACUGGUGAAGCCGCCCGACAAAUUGUUAAGCAAUGCCCACAAUGCUUACCUCACCUUCCUGUUCCACAUUAUGUUGUUAAUCCUCGUGGAUUAUUACCUAGACAUUUAUGGCAAAUGGAUGUUACUCAUAUCCCGUCUUUUGGGAAAUUACAGUUUGUUCAUGUCACUAUCGAUACUUAUUCUGGUUUCCUCUGUGCUACAGCACAGACCGGAGAAGCUACUAAACAUGUUAUCACUCAUUUAUUACACUGUUUUGCUUUCAUGAACCUUCCCAAAAUUAUUAAAACAGAUAAUGG